UACAGAGGUCUCAAGCGUUGUUCGGAUUCAUUGGGCGUAAAGGGUGCGUAGGCGGCGCGGUAAGUCGGGUGUGAAAUCUCGGAGCUUAACUCCGAAACUGCAUUCGAUACUGCCGUGCUUGAGGACUGGAGAGGAGACUGGAAUUUACGGUGUAGCGGUGAAAUGCGUAGAUAUCGUGAGGAAGACCAGUGGCGAAGGCGGAUCUCUGGACAGCUCCUGACGCUGAGGCGCGAAGGCUAGGGGAGCAAACGGG
rnacentral:rRNA from 1 species